rnacentral:rRNA from 1 species
CAGCUACCAUGCAAGUCGAGCGAGAUCUUCGGAUCUAGCGGCGGACGGGUGAGUAACGCGUGGGAACGUACCCUCUUCUGCGGGAUAGCCACUGGAAACGGUGAGUAAUACCGCAUACGCCCUUCGGGGGAAAGAUUUAUCGGAGGAGGAUCGGCCCGCGUUGGAUUAGGUAGUUGGUGGGGUAAUGGCCUACCAAGCCUACGAUCCAUAGCUGGUUUUAGAGGAUGAUCAGCCACACUGGGACUGAGACACGGCCCAGACUCCUACGGGAGGCAGCAGUGGGGAAUCUUAGACAAUGGGCGCAAGCCUGAUCUAGCCAUGCCGCGUGAGUGACGAAGGCCUUAGGGUCGUAAAGCUCUUUCGCCUGUGAUGAUAAUGACAGUAGCAGGUAAAGAAACCCCGGCUAACUCCGUGCCAGCAGCCGCGGUAAUACGGAGGGGGUUAGCGUUGUUCGGAAUUACUGGGCGUAAAGCGCACGUAGGCGGAUUGGAAAGUAUGGGGUGAAAUCCCAGGGCUCAACCCUGGAACGGCCUCAUAAACUUCCAGUCUGGAGUUCGAGAGAGGUGAGUGGAAUUCCGAGUGUAGAGGUGAAAUUCGUAGAUAUUCGGAGGAACACCAGUGGCGAAGGCGGCUCACUGGCUCGAUACUGACGCUGAGGUGCGAAAGUGUGGGGAGCAAACAGGAUUAGAUACCCUGGUAGUCCAC